UACAGAGGUCCCAAGCGUUGUUCGGAUUCAUUGGGCGUAAAGGGUGCGUAGGCGGCGCGGUAAGUCGGGUGUGAAAUCUCGGGGCUUAACUCCGAAACUGCAUUCGAUACUGCCGUGCUUGAGGACUGGAGAGGAGACUGGAAUUUACGGUGUAGCGGUGAAAUGCGUAGAUAUCGUAAGGAAGACCAGUGGCGAAGGCGGGUCU
rnacentral:rRNA from 1 species